AUUUAUUUCUAGAGAAAAAGAAAAGCAAAAUAGAAAAGCUUCUUGUAAACGACGAAGGUGUUAUAAAUAUCAGAACACCGACGAGGGUGUGUUUUUCUCCGAAGCUUUGUUGGCGGCAAAGCAAAUCUGUAUUGCGAUGGCGCCUACGAAGCUCUUCUUCUUAGCGUUUUCAGUAGCCCUAAUUUUCGCCACCGUCGGGGCCGAGGCUGAUGUUUCCAUUGAAGGAAGCGUAGCAGAGCCUGAUACCUCUGCCUUCAAGAUCCAAUUAGAUCAACUCAAUUCUAAGAUCCGAAUUCUAGAAUCUGAAAUCAGAGAAAAGUCGGAAGAAGUGAAGAGGAGGGACGAAAUUGUGGCCGGGAAAGAAAAAAUUAUUCAAGAUAAAUCGGUCACCAUACAGUCUCUCCAGAAUGAUAUUGCUUCUCUCCAGAAAAAAGGGUCAUUGGAUGCUGAAGAGCAAGUCGGAAAGGCUCAUGCACGUGCUGUUGAACUACAGAAUCAGGUGGACAAGCUUAAAGGGGAACUAGAAACACAAAACAGGGAGAAAGGGAACUGGGAAACUCGAGUGCUUGGGUUAGAGAAAAAAGUUCAUGACUUGAACUCAAAAUUAGAAGAUCUUCAAAAGAUAAACCAGGAGCAGAGGACACAGAUUCAGAAAACUGAACGUGCUCUUAAAGUUACUGAGGAAGAGAUGGUGAAGGCUAAGUUUGAGGCAGCUGUCAUACAAGCAGAGUUGAGUGCGACACGCGGUGCUUGGCUUCCACCUUGGCUUGCUGUACACUAUCUUCAUAGUAAGGUGAGUCUAUGUUGUAUCUCCUCUUAUUUGUUAGAAGAGCCUUCCUCACCAGUUCUGAGAAUUUUAUUUUUCUACCAGUCUUGUGUUGAGACUCAAUGGAACAAACACGGGAAACCUGUUUGGGAAAAGGUUGCUCAAAAGGCCCUAGAUAAAAAGGCACAAGCUGGAAAGUGGGCUGAACCUCAUGUGGAAAUCAUUAAAACUAAAUGGGUCCCUGCUGUAAAAGAACAGUGGUAUGUGGUGAAAACAAGUGCUGAACCGCAUGUGCAAUUAUUGACUACAAAAACUGUUGAAGGUUAUGAGGCUACCAGGAAGACAAUUUCUCCCCAUUUAAGCAAGGCAAAAGAAUUUGUUCAUCCUUAUUAUCAGGAAGCUAGAAAGUUCAGCAAGCCAUACAUUGAUCAGAUUGCUGUUGUAGCUAAACCUCAUGUUGAUAAAGUACAAGUGGUUUUGAAGCCCUACACAAAUAAAGUUGUUCAUGUUUAUGGGAAGUUUUUGGAAUCAGCCACUACAUAUCAUAGCCAGGUCCAAGCCACUGUUCAAGAGACACUGAAGAAGCAUGAGCUCACCAGACCUCUUGCUACUAAAGAGUUAGAAUGGUUUGCGGCCUCUGCUCUUUUGGCUCUACCUAUUAUUUUUGCGGCUAGAGUGUUUUCAGCUGUGUUCUGGUCGGUCUUUAAUCAAUAAGAAAGUGAAUAAACCUUCUCGAGGUGGAAGUCACCAUGUGCGACGCAAAUCUAAGCGAGGCCAUCCAGACAAGCACACAUCAUGAAGUUAGGUCCUGCCUUAUUUUUUUUCUUGGAAAGAAAUUUAGAUAAUUUUUCCUGUUCGCAUGGGCGUAUGGAGGGCUAUAUCUUUCAUGUCAUGAGGGGUUUUGAAUAUUUGCUUCUCUUUUUCUGGGUGAGGUAACUUUAGGAUGUUUCACUGUAGAGUUGGGCACACACUAUGUUUAGGUGUUUAUGUAUUGUCUUGUCACUGUGUUAUAUUUGUUAUUAUACUUGGCACUCCCAUUUGCUGUCGGUUUUAUUUUCUUAAAUUCUUGACAGUAGAAGUGUUUCCACUUGAUGUAUGUUUAUUAGAAUCAGAAAUUUUCUUUCUAUCGCGGUUUUCUGCGGAACGUUAAAUUUAUUUUUAAAAGAAACUAAUUCAUGAGUUAUUCUUCAUUGGAA